AUGCCAUGCCAUGAUCACAUUGCACCACAUAUGCUUUGUUUUGGAUGUUGUCAAUAUUCUCCAUGUGAUGUUGCUACUCCUCCUCAUGAGGAGACCCCCAUAGUUUCCUCAUACAUAUUAGGAGAUUUUGAUCCAUCCUAUCAUUUGCAUGAUUUCCAUGAUUGCUUGCACCAUAUGCAUUCCAUGAAUAACAAUGCUCUAAAUAUUGGUCGUGAUGCAUUACACAACUUGAGUCUCCAUUAUGCUAUACAUAAUAACAAACCUCUCAUGAUGGAUGACAUGUUUCUAUAUCACGCAUCUCAUUUGUUUGAGCAUUGGCUAUUUUGUGCUCACUAA
rnacentral:rRNA from 1 species